rnacentral:rRNA from 1 species
AAAAACACGGGGCUACCAGCAAGUCGACGAUGAACCCGAAGCUUGCUUUGGGGGAUUAGUGGCGAACGGGUGAGUAACACGUGAGCAACCUGCCCCUCACUCUGGGAUAAGCGCUGGAAACGGCGUCUAAUACUGGAUACGAGUCGCAACCGCAUGGUUAGUGACUGGAAAGAUUUUUUGGUGGGGGAUGGGCUCGCGGCCUAUCAGCUUGUUGGUGAGGUAAUGGCUCACCAAGGCGUCGACGGGUAGCCGGCCUGAGAGGGUGACCGGCCACACUGGGACUGAGACACGGCCCAGACUCCUACGGGAGGCAGCAGUGGGGAAUAUUGCACAAUGGGCGGAAGCCUGAUGCAGCAACGCCGCGUGAGGGAUGACGGCCUUCGGGUUGUAAACCUCUUUUAGCAGGGAAGAAGCGAAAGUGACGGUACCUGCAGAAAAAGCACCGGCUAACUACGUGCCAGCAGCCGCGGUAAUACGUAGGGUGCAAGCGUUAUCCGGAAUUAUUGGGCGUAAAGAGCUCGUAGGCGGUUUGUCGCGUCUGCUGUGAAAUCCCGAGGCUCAACCUCGGGCCUGCAGUGGGUACGGGCAGACUAGAGUGCGGUAGGGGAGAUUGGAAUUCCUGGUGUAGCGGUGGAAUGCGCAGAUAUCAGGAGGAACACCGAUGGCGAAGGCAGAUCUCUGGGCCGUAACUGACGCUGAGGAGCGAAAGGGUGGGGAGCAAACAGGCUUAGAUACCCUGGUAGUCCACCCCGUAAACGUUGGGAACUAGUUGUGGGGUCCUUUCCACGGAUUCCGUGACGCAGCUAACGCAUUAAGUUCCCCGCCUGGGGAGUACGGCCGCAAGGCUAAAACUCAAAGGAAUUGACGGGGACCCGCACAAGCGGCGGAGCAUGCGGAUUAAUUCCAUGCAACGCGAAGAACCUUACCCAGGGUUGGCUAACCCAGAACGGGCCCCAAAUGGGCACUCUUUUGAACCCCCGAAAAGGGG